UGAAUUCGGCUUUACUGUUUGAUACUUAGUCGAGAAUAAUAUAGCUGGAAAUAUUGUUACCUCGCAAUUUCUUUCUUUUGGUUCCCGGAAGCUCAUCUUCACUUACUAGUUUUUUGCAUUUCUCUGGUUUAGGUGUGUUUUCAGCAAGUAUCGCGUCAUCCCCCCUUAUUCGAGAGGAUUUGUCCUCGAUUUGUAGAGACUAUAAACUUUUCAUCUAAGAUCAUUGAGGACAGAAGUUUUACCAAACAUCCAACGGGGUGCUCGGGUUGUUUUUAAAUGAAGAAAAAACUUUUGUCUAGAUUCAAAUUGUGGCCCUUCUUUGUCUAUCUCUUAUCGAACUCUUCGUAUGACUUUUUAAUUUUCAGUUGAUCCUCAUAAACAUCCCUUCUUGACAAAGGUGUAAAGACAUGAGUGUGGUUACCCAUUUGGAUAGAAUACUGAU
rnacentral:lncRNA from 1 species